rnacentral:lncRNA from 12 species
GCCAAUUUUAGAAUUUAUUCACGUUCUAUGAGGAAAAACAGAAUCUUAUACAACUUUGCUUAUGGAACUAAUUUUGAUUUCUGUUAACAUGCUUGCUUCCAUUGACAGGUCAAAUGAAAAAUAAGAUAGUGAAUAAAAUGCGUUUUAUUUUGUCUUAAGGGAAGCUCUUCCAAAUAAGAGAAAUGUUUGAGAUUUCUACUUAACUUCAGUUAUAUCAAAACGUUCUAUUUAUUUUUUUCCAUUCCUUAGCACACAAUUUUAACUGAAAUGGAACAGUUAUAAUGAUUUCUUACACUGAAUUUCUAAUGUUGCAGCUUAAGCUCAAUUAAUAUGAAAAUACUUGGCCUUGGAGAAACAGCCUUCUUCCUUGAGUAAAUAUGAUUCAAAGAAACAUCAAGUGAAAUGGCAACUGGACUUAAUGAGGAUUAAAUUUUCUCUGACAAUGUAAUGAAAGAUGUGCUGUUUCACACACCUGAAAACAUGAUGGAGUUGAAGCUCUUGUCCAGAUUUUACAAUAUGUCUGUCAGCGUUUCCUGUGGUUGUCCAUAAAUGUCAUCUAUGGGUUCAGUGGAAUAGGACUUAAAAGCCUCACUGAAUUUAGCAAAAGAUAACCUAUCCCAUCUGAAUGAUUGUCUCCUACCUAUAACUUCAAAACCUAACAUGCUUUAAUUACUUUCUAUUUUCAAAACAAGCACCCCUCCUACUCCUUAGUACCUAGAGUAUCCCAGCCAUUUGAACAAACUGGAAUUAGAAAUGUAUUGUGAUUUGAAGCACCUCUUUCAAUUCUUUAAUUCCUCAUUCUAUGUAAUACACCAAACUGCCUAAGUAAGAUAGAAUAAUAAGAAGAAAUAUAAAUAAAAUUGUUUAAAUUGAUCA